ensembl:misc_RNA 7SK 7SK RNA
GGAUGUGGGUGACCUGGCUUCAACAUCUGCCACCCCAUUGACUGCCAUGUUGAUUCGGCUGAUCUGGGUGGCUUCCCCUUCCUCACUCACAGCUCCAUGUGUGUCCCUCCCUAAGCCACAACCUUCCCAGAAGAGAGGGGGCUCCCUCUCCAGUCUUCAGUCAAGGGUAUAAAAGUAGCUGUGCUCUCCAGCUAGAACCUCCAAGAAAACUCUCAGGAAUGAUUUGGUGGCAGUAAAGUUGGUAGAAAAGGAAAAGGAUUCAAGAAAACUAGGUUUCCUCCAUUUUUUACGUGCUAAGUGAUGGGAGCAGAC